CGGCAACAGCCUAAAACUCAAAGGACUUGGCGGUGCUUUAUACCCUUCUAGAGGAGCCUGUUCUAUAAUCGAUAAACCCCGAUAGACCUCACCAAUUCUUGCUAAUACAGUCUAUAUACCGCCAUCUUCAGCAAACCCUAAAAAGGAGCAAAAGUAAGCGCAAUCACAACACAUAAAAACGUUAGGUCAAGGUGUAACCUAUGAAAUGGGAAGAAAUGGGCUACAUUUUCUAUUUCAAGAA
rnacentral:rRNA from 1 species